rnacentral:rRNA from 1 species
UUAGAGUUUGAUCCUGGCUCAGGAUGAACGCUAGCUACAGGCUUAACACAUGCAAGUCGAGGGGCAGCAUGAACAAAGCUUGCUUUGUUCGAUGGCGACCGGCGCACGGGUGAGUAACGCGUAUCCGACCUGCCCAUGACUCGGGCACAGCCGCUCGAAAGAGCGAUUGAUUCCCGAUACGUCGUAUGAGUAGAUCAUGUGAUGAAAGAUUCAUCGGUCAUGGAUGGGGAUGCGUAGGAUUAGGUAGUAGGCGGGGUAACGGCCCACCUAGCCGACGAUCCUUAGGGGUUCUGAGAGGAAGGUCCCCCACACUGGUACUGAGACACGGACCAGACUCCUACGGGAGGCAGCAGUGAGGAAUAUUGGUCAAUGGGCGGAAGCCUGAACCAGCCAAGUAGCGUGAAGGAUUACUGCCCUACGGGUUUUAAACUUCUUUUAUGCGAGAGUAAUGUGCGCCACGUGUGGUGUAUUGCAAGUAUCGCAUGAAUAAGCAUCGGCUAACUCCGUGCCAGCAGCCGCGGUAAUACGGAGGAUGCGAGCGUUAUCCGGAUUUAUUGGGUUUAAAGGGAGCGUAGGCGGGCUAUUAAGUCAGUCGUCAAAGCCUGUGGCUCAACCACAGCCCGCGAUUGAUACUGGUAACCUUGAGUGCGGAUGAGGUGGAUGGAAUUCGUGGUGUAGCGGUGAAAUGCUUAGAUAUCACGAAGAACUCCGAUUGCGAAGGCAGUCCACUGGGCCGCAACUGACGCUGAAGCUCGAAAGUGCGGGUAUCAAACAGGAUUAGAUACCCUGGUAGUCCGCACCGUAAACGAUGGACACUCGCUGCCGGCGAUAUACAGUCGGUGGCCUCGCGAAAACCUUAAGUGUCCCACCUGGGGAGUACGCCGGCAACGGUGAAACUCAAAGGAAUUGACGGGGACCCGCACAAGCAGCGGAGCAUGUGGUUUAAUUCGAAGCAACGCGAAGAACCUUACCAGGGCUUGACAUCCCGAUGACCGUUCCUUAACCGGAACUUCUCUACGGAGCAUCGGUGACAGGUGGUGCAUGGUUGUCGUCAGCUCGUGUCGUGAGAUGUUGGGUUAAGUCCCGCAACGAGCGCAACCCUUGUCGUCAGUUACUAACAUUCAGUUGAGGACUCUGGCGAGACUGCCGAGGUUAACUCGGAGGAAGGUGGGGAUGACGUCAGAUCAUCAUGCCCCUUAUGUUCUGGGCUACACACGUGCUACAAUGGUCGGUACAAUGAGAGGCAAACCUGUGAGGGGGAGCAAAUCACCAAAACCGAUCCCAGUUCGGAUUGUAGGCUGAAACUCGCCUACAUGAAGUCGGAGUUGCUAGUAAUCGCAGAUCAGAAUGCUGCGGUGAAUGCGUUCCCGGGUCUUGUACACACCGCCCGUCAA